rnacentral:ncRNA from 2 species
CUUUUAUCGAGAGUGUGGAGUAGGGAAUUGGCCCGAUGAUACCACCAGCAACCACCUUUGGAGAGGACAGGUGCUAAAUCCAAACCCCUAUGGGGAAGAUGAAUG